rnacentral:lncRNA from 1 species
GAGGAUUUACAUCUCUAGAGGAAAGAGUGCAUGGUUAUCCCCCUUUCUUAGGAGCAGUGGGCAAAGGACAGCCCAGAAGCAAACACUAGACACAAAGGGGACACUUUCUGCACAGGAGCUGAGGGCCAACUCUGGUGAAGACUAGUCAUCAACACUGGACAGGGAACGGUGGGUUCUGCCGCACAGAAACCCACUCCUCAUGUAUUACAUCCUAAAAGGAAACACAUCUGGUGGAAGUUGCAUUUCACCCCAAUCAUCCAGGGCAGACCACCCAGCUGCCAGCUACAGCAGCCUGAUGGACAGAUGUUUCUGGCACUCAGAGCUAUGGAAGAGAGGUGUGAGAGCACUUGGCAGAGAAGACUUGAGGUGCCCCCAUGGGAAAGGGGAAUACUAUAAAAGACUCCUCUAAGACUCCUUGUCACUGACUCAGGAUUGAAAGACUGCCAUUGCUUAUGGCACCUGAUGACUUUGAGUUCCUUUCAGACUCUGAGGUUCUGUUUAAAUAAGUGAAAUUCUGACUCUAUGCCUGGCUAAGGAUGCUGAAGAUGCAUUUUUGGAGGGCAAAUCAACUUAGCCAAACCCUGAAGGAAGAGUAAAGAUUUGGGGCAGGGGGACGGCCAAGAGAAGAGGGAGAUGGCGAGUGGAGUGUUGCAAGUGGAGGUGUAGGCUGGGGAGCAUGGGCCACAUUUAGGAAACAGGAGUUCAGGAUGAGACAAGGGCACAUGGACGCACAACACCUCCAUCACUUGCCCUAACAUGGCACCAUUCUAGGGGAUUUUCUCAGCAAACCCUUCUGCACAUGAGUAGCCACUGUCCACGAAAGUGCAUAGCCAGAAGCGCAGGAGUCACAUCUGCCAGCUCCUUCUCAAUCAGCCCCCAAACUAUAACUUCGAGACCUUUGCAUCCUAGUUCUGAGAUUUCACAGGAAUGCAUCCACCUCGCCCCUUGCCACUGCCACCAUCAUUCCCUUCCCAGCAGAAUUCAAACUGGUCCCCUGCCUACUCCAAUCCACUGUCCUGGCAGGAGGCAUGAGGUUUUCCAUUCAUGUACCUGACCAUAUCCUUCUCCUGCAGAAACUUUCGUGUCUCUCUUUGCUUGUGAGAUCUGAGAUGCUGCCAGGAUAUCCUGGGGGGUGAGAGGGUUGCGUGAUGCAACAUAGUUGGCAGGAGGCUCUGCAGAGAGUGCUGCUGUGAUGUGGAAAACUUGCUUACUCCUAUCAUGGGUGGGG